rnacentral:rRNA from 1 species
CAAUAGCGUAUAUUAAAGUUGUUGCAGUUAAAAAGCUCGUAGUUGGAUUUCUGGUGGGAGCGAUCGGUCUGGCGCUUAGCGCGAGUACUUGCAUCGUCUCCGGCCAUCCUUGGGGAGAGUCUGUCUGGCAUUAGGUUGUCGGGCAGAGGAUCCUCAUCGUUUACUGUGAAAAAAUUAGAGUGUUCAAAGCAGGCUUAUGCCGUUGAAUAUAUUAGCAUGGAAUAAUAAGAUAGGACUUUGGUACUAUUUUGUUGGUUUGCGCACCAAAGUAAUGAUUAAUAGGGACAGUUGGGGGUAUUCGUAUUCCGUUGUCGGAGGUGAAAUUCUUGGAUUUACGGAAGACGAACUACUGCGAAAGCAUUUACCAAGGAUGUUUNCAUUAA